rfam:Oryza barthii chromosome 4, whole genome shotgun sequence.
AAAAAAGCAAACCCUAGAUUUCCGUGCCAACGUUUGACUGUCCGUCUUAUAUGAAUUUUUUUUAUAAUUAGUAUUUUCAUUGCUGUUAGAUGAUAAAACAUGAUUAAUAUUUUACGCGUGACUUAUCUUUUUAAUUUUUUUAAAUAAUACGAAUGGUCAAACGUUGGAUACGGAAAUCAGGGUUUAACGGAGG